rnacentral:rRNA from 1 species
GUGGGGAAUAUUGGGCAAUGGGCGAAAGCCUGACCCAGCAACGCCGCGUGAGGGAAGAAGGCCUUAGGGUCGUAAACCUCUGUUGUGUGGGAAGAAGAGCGUGACGGUACCACACGAGGAAGUCCCGGCUAACUACGUGCCAGCAGCCGCGGUAAUACGUAGGGGACGAGCGUUGUCCGGAUUUACUGGGCGUAAAGGGCGCGUAGGCGGUCAUUUAAGUCAGCUGUGAAAUGGUUUGGCUUAACCGGAUCAUGCGGUUGAAACUGGAUGACUGGAGUGCUGGAGAGGCAAGUGGAAUUCCCAGUGUAGCGGUGAAAUGCGUAGAUAUUGGGAAGAACACCGGUGGCGAAGGCGACUUGCUGGCCAGCAACUGACGCUGAGGCGCGAAAGCCAGGGGAGCAAACGGGAUUAGAAACCCCGGUAGUCC